UACGAAGGGUGCAAGCGUUAUCCGGAUUUAUUGGGUUUAAAGGGUGCGUAGGCGGACUUAUAAGUCAGUGGUGAAAUCUCGUUGCUUAACAACGAACGUGCCAUUGAUGCUGUAGGUCUUGAGUACAGAUGCCGUUGGCGGAAUGUGUCAUGUAGCGGUGAAAUGCAUAGAUAUGACACAGAACACCGAUUGCGAAGGCAGCUGACGAAACUGUAACUGACGCUGAGGCACGAAAGCGUGGGGAUCAAACAGG
rnacentral:rRNA from 1 species